UACGAGGGGGGCGAGCGUUGUUCGGAAUUAUUGGGCGUAAAGCGCGCGCAGGCGGCCUUUUAAGUCUGAUGUGAAAUCUUGCGGCUCAACCGCAAGCGGCCAUUGGAAACUGGGAGGCUUGAGUACAGAAGAGGAGAGUGGAAUUCCACGUGUAGCGGUGAAAUGCGUAGAUAUGUGGAGGAACACCAGUGGCGAAGGCGACUCUCUGGUCUGUAACUGACGCUGAGGCGCGAAAGCGUGGGGAGCAAACAGG
rnacentral:rRNA from 1 species